rnacentral:sRNA from 1 species
ACGAAAAUUCCAAAAAAAAA